rnacentral:tRNA from 4 species
GCCCAGAUAGCUCAGUUGGUAGAGCAAAGGACUGAAAAUCCUUGUGUCGCUGGUUCGAUUCCGGCUCUGGGCA